rnacentral:rRNA from 1 species
AUUGAACGCUGGCGGCAUGCCUUACACAUGCAAGUCGAACGGCAGCGCGGGGCAACCUGGCGGCGAGUGGCGAACGGGUGAGUAAUAUAUCGGAACAUACCCUAGAGUGGGGGAUAACGUAGCGAAAGUUACGCUAAUACCGCAUACGCACUAAGGUGGAAAGUGGGGGAUUCGCAAGAACCUCAUGCUCAUGGAGUGGCCGAUAUCUGAUUAGCUAGUUGGUGAGGUAAAGGCUCACCAAGGCAACGAUCAGUAGCUGGUUUGAGAGAACGACCAGCCACACUGGAACUGAGACACGGUCCAGACUCCUACGGAGGCAGCAGUGGGGAAUUUUGGACAAUGGGGGCAACCCUGAUCCAGCAAUGCCGCGUGAGUGAAGAAGGCCU